UGUUUAGUAUAAGUAUGUUCCAUGCAAUAUUCGGCAUGUAUUUAUAUUAAAA
rnacentral:pre_miRNA from 1 species